rnacentral:rRNA from 1 species
GAUGAACGCUGGCGGCGUGCCUAAUACAUGCAAGUCGAGCGAACAGACGAGGAGCUUGCUCCUCUGACGUUAGCGGCGGACGGGUGAGUAACACGUGGAUAACCUACCUAUAAGACUGGGAUAACUUCGGGAAACCGGAGCUAAUACCGGAUAAUAUAUUGAACCGCAUGGUUCAAUAGUGAAAGACGGUUUUGCUGUCACUUAUAGAUGGAUCCGCGCCGCAUUAGCUAGUUGGUAAGGUAACAGCUUACCAAGGCAACGAUGCGUAGCCGACCUGAGAGGGUGAUCGGCCACACUGGAACUGAGACACGGUCCAGACUCCUACGGGAGGCAGCAGUAGGGAAUCUUCCGCAAUGGGCGAAAGCCUGACGGAGCAACGCCGCGUGAGUGAUGAAGGUCUUCGGAUCGUAAAACUCUGUUAUUAGGGAAGAACAAAUGUGUAAGUAACUAUGCACGUCUUGACGGUACCUAAUCGGAAAGCCACGGCUAACUACGUG